ACUCCUACGGGAGGCAGCAGUAGGGAAUCUUCCACAAUGGGCGAAAGCCUGAUGGAGCAAUGCCGCGUGAGUGAAGAAGGUUUUCGGAUCGUAAAACUCUGUUGUUGAAGAAGAACAUGCGUGAGAGUAACUGUUCACGUACUGACGGUAUUCAACCAGAAAGCCACGGCUAACUACGUGCCAGCAGCCGCGGUAAUACGUAGGUGGCAAGCGUUGUCCGGAUUUAUUGGGGCGUAAAGAGAAUGUAGGCGGUUUUAUUAAGUUUGAAGUGAAAGCCCUCGGCUCAACCGAGGAAGUGCUUCGAAAACUGGUAAACUUGAGUGCAGAAGAGGAAAGUGGAACUCCAUGUGUAGCGGUGGAAUGCGUAGAUAUAUGGAAGAACACCAGUGGCGAAGGCGGCUUUCUGGUCUGUAACUGACGCUCAGAUGCGAAAGCGUGGGGAGCAAACAGGAUUAGAUACCCUGGUAGGCGUAG
rnacentral:rRNA from 1 species